GAGCACGUAUUGGGGUUUGUAGUAAGUCAGGUGUGAAAGCCUGGUCUGUUCAAAUAGGGAAGAACGGAUCUGAAACGCAGAUCUUGUGUAGGAGGGGAGAGUGGAACUUCUGGGGGUGAAAUGCGUAGAUAUCAGAAGGAACGUCGGCCUCGAAAGCGACUCUCUGGCUGUUACUGACACUGAGGUGCGAAAGUUAGGGUGGGCAAAAGGAUUGGAUACCCCGGUAGUCCUAACCGUGAAACGAUGGCACUAAGUAUAGGGAAUUACAAUGUUCUCUCUGCCGUAGCUAACGCAUUUGUGCCCCGCCUGGGGAGUACGGCCGCAAGGCUAAAACUCAAAAGAAUUGACGGGGGCUGCACAAGCGGUGGAGCAUGUAUGGCUUAAUUGAUGCAACGGAAAAACCUCCCGGGGUUGACAUGGUAGAAGUAGGAGCCGAAAUGGGAGCCAACGGUAUCCAGUCCGUAACUAUCACCAGGUGUUGCUGGCUGUCGUCAGCUCGUGUGUCGUGAGACGUUGGGUUAAGCCCCUAACGGCGAAACCCUUGUUUUUAGUUACCAUCGGGUUAUGCCGGGUACUCUAGAGGAAGACUGCCGCGUCAAGACGUGGAGGAAGGUGGGGAUGACGCAAGUCAUCUGGCCCUUUACCCCGGGCGCACAGGUGCUACAAUGGUCGGUACAAAAGGAAGCAAGACCGAGAGGUGGAGCGAAUCC
rnacentral:rRNA from 1 species